rnacentral:ribozyme from 1 species
UAAAAUAAAGGAAUUUGGUUGAAAAAACGGGAAAUGAGUGGUGGGAAAAACGCAGAAGAGUGUUUCUCUUCCUCUUUUUUUUUCUCUCUUUUUUUUUUUUUUUUAGCGUGUUUUUUCU